CUCUGCAGCAUAGAGGUGGACUUACAAUGAUUUAGAAUAUUAUAAAUGCAGAAAUUGUUUAAUGAUUGUGUUUAUACAGUAGAUGGCACUAUGAUGACUACAAUACUGGAUGAUUGAGUCAUGAGAUGAGAAGAAGCUUGGGAAUAGAGUAAUGUGAGGUCAACACUCCAAAAUGCAUUGUGAAAGAUGGCAACAGUCCAAAGCACAUCAGCAAAAUUGCUCAAGAGUUCCUAAAGAAUGAAAAUAUAUAAAAACUAUGAUUUGGCCAAGUGUAUCGCCUAAUGUAAAACUAACAAAAAAAGAAACAAGGGUGCAAACUGUCCCCUGCAGCAAAGAACAGCUGAAAUCACUCUGCAUAAAGUUUAUAAAAGGCUUGCUUCUCCAGGAGAAGGAAAUCUUAGUCUUAGAAAGUAUUUGAAAACGGACUUUCAUUGCAAAUUUAAGACACUUCUGGUUGAGAGGUUUGUGCUUUUCAUAUGACCGGAUAGAUUAGAAAAGUGAUCAGAGGGAAGACCCAGUAGUUCUCAAAUGCAAAUAGUCCAGUUCAGAUUUAAACAGUAUAGAUCAUAUGAGUUUUAUUUUGCUUUACUGUGUUCUGGAUGGCAAGUCAAUGAGGGAGACGAUGCAUAGAAGAUGGAAUUUAGUCGCUCUAGCAAGAGGUCUGCCUUGGAGUCUCUUCUUUAAUGGGAAGUAUCUGGAGGACCCAGAGGGCAUUCUGAUCUUGCUGUUGGUCAACGUCUUGCUCUAUGUAUACUUAUACUGAUAAUGUUAUGUCUCAAAGGAAACGUUUGAUACCAUCAGCCCUGAACUGUCCCACCUGUCGCAUCUGGUAACAUGGGCUGCCACUGUGCCUUGCUCAAAGACCCAGCAUGUCAGUCCAUGAGGCCGAACCAGGAACCAUGAAGCUUCUCCAGGACAUCAAUAACAAGAGGAUCUGGAAACUCCCCUUUAUAAGAAACUACAACCUGGAAGGU